rnacentral:lncRNA from 1 species
GGGAAAUAACUCCCAUAAGAUGUCUUCCGAUCACUCCAGUCAAAAUUAACCAAAUCAUUCUUAAGAGUAGACAAACAAUUUGGUAAACACAGUUUGUUAAGAUCUUUUACGGUUUUAGAGAUAAAGCAAUAACAAGAAAAAGGGGACGCGGGGGGGAGAUAACUCCUAUAAGAAUAAGUGUUCGGUCACACAGGGUGAGUUUUGAAACCCCCAUUACUGUUCAACAUCA